CCUCUGGUAGUAUAUUGGUUAGUACACGCGCCUGUCAUUGCCCAUGUAGAGCCAAUCUCGCGUGAAAGCUGGGUUCGACUCCCAGCCAGAGAG